AGCGAACGUUAGCGGCAGGCUUAACACAUGCAAGUCGAGCGAGAAAGGGGCUUCGGGCCCCCGGUAAAGCGGCGGACGGGUGCGUAACACGUGGAUAAUCUGCCCUUUGGCGGGGGACAACCAUUCGAAAGGAUGGCUAAUACCGCAUAAGUCGGCCGGGUCUUUGACCGGGCCGGGAAAGGGGGCGCCCGCAAGGGGCUCCCACCAGAGGAUGAGUCCGCGGCCCAUCAGCUAGUUGGCGGGGUAAUGGCCCACCAAGGCAAAGACGGGUAGCUGGUCUGAGAGGAUGAUCAGCCACACUGGGACUGAGACACGGCCCAGACUCCUACGGGNGGCAGCAGUGGGGAAUAUUGGACAAUGGGCGCAAGCCUGAUCCAAGCCAUGCCGCGUGAGUGAUG
rnacentral:rRNA from 1 species